rnacentral:rRNA from 1 species
AUGAACGCUGGCGGCGUGCCUAAUACCUGCAAGUCGAGCGAACAGACGCGGAGCUUGCUCCUCUGACGUUAGCGGCGGACGGGUGCGUAACACGUGGAUAACCUACCUAUAAGACUGGGAUAACUUCGGGAAACCGGAGCUAAUACCGGAUAAUAUAUUGAACCGCAUGGUUCAAUAGUGAAAGACGGUUUUGCUGUCACUUAUAGAUGGAUCCGCGCCGCAGUAGCUAGUUGGUAAGGUAACGGCUUACCAAGGCAACGAUGCGUAGCCGACCUGAGAGGGUGAUCGGCCACACGGGAACUGAGACACGGUCCAGACUCCUACGGGAGGCAGCAGUAGGGAAUCUUCCGCAAUGGGCGAAAGCCUGACGGAGCAACGCCGCGUGAGUGAUGAAGGUCUUCGGAUCGUAAAACUCUGUUAUUAGGGAAGAACAAAUGUGUAAGUAACUAUGCACGUCUUGACGGUACCUAAUCAGAAAGCCACGGCUAACUACGUG